rnacentral:rRNA from 1 species
GUGUAUAGGAUAGUAGGCCGUCUAAUUCAGGUUCAAAAAAAAUACUUUGGGAAUACUAAUUUAUUUUGAAUACAUCUUAGGCUAGAAUCUCUCGGGGUCUGGGUACUCUACAUGGAGACGUAAAAUGCGCAGAUAUGACGAGGACUUCAAAGGUGAAAGCGCGGACCGAUUAAGGAUUGACGUGAGGUAUGAAGGUAUGGGUAUCGAUCAGGAUUAGAGACCCUAGUAGUCCAUAAGUAAACGCUGCAUAUUACUGCGGGAUUAUAGUAAAAAUAUAUAUAAAUAACUUUUAUUAUUUUCUGUGGUUAGCUAACGCGUUAAAUAUGCCACUGGGCAGUACGGCCGCAAGGUUAAAACUCAAAAGAAUUGACGGAGACUUGUACAAGG